UACAGGGGGUGCAAACGUUGCUCGGAAUCAUUGGGCGUAAAGCGCACGUAGGCGGUUCGUUAUGUCGGAUGUGAAAGCCCUUGGCUUAACCGAGGAAGUGCAUCCGAAACUGGCGAGCUAGAGUACGAAAGAGGAUCGCGGAAUUCCCGGUGUAGAGGUGAAAUUCGUAGAUAUCGGGAGGAACACCGGUGGCGAAGGCGGUCCGCUGGCCCUCUACUGACGCUGAGGCGCGAAAGCCAGGGGAGCAAACGGG
rnacentral:rRNA from 1 species